rnacentral:rRNA from 1 species
UCCAGACUCCUACGGGAGGCAGCAGUGGGGAAUAUUGCACAAUGGGGGAAACCCUGAUGCAGCGACGCCGCGUGAGUGAAGAAGUAUUUCGGUAUGUAAAGCUCUCUCAGCAGGGAAGAAAAUGACGGUACCUGACUAAGAAGCCCCGGCUAACUACGUGCCAGCAGCCGCGGUAAUACGUAGGGGACAAGCGUUAUCCGGAUUUACUGGGUGUAAAGGGAGCGUAGACGGCAUGGCAAGUCAGAUGUGAAAGCCCGGGGCUCAACCCCGGGACUGCAUUUGAAACUGUCAGGCUGGAGUGCAGGAGAGGUAAGUGGAAUUCCUAGUGUAGCGGUGAAAUGCGUAGAUAUUAGGAGGAACACCAGUGGCGAAGGCGGCUUACUGGACUGUAACUGACGUUGAGGCUCGAAAGCGUGGGGAGCAAACAGGAUUAGAUACCCUCGUAC